rnacentral:rRNA from 1 species
UGAGGAAUAUUGGUCAAUGGACGGAAGUCUGAACCAGCCAAGUAGCGUGCAGGAUGACGGCCCUAUGGGUUGUAAACUGCUUUUAUGUGGGAAUAAAGUGAGGGACGUGUCCCUUUUUGUAGGUACCACAUGAAUAAGGACCGGCUAAUUCCGUGCCAGCAGCCGCGGUAAUACGGAAGGUCCGGGCGUUAUCCGGAUUUAUUGGGUUUAAAGGGAGCGUAGGCCGUCUUUUAAGCGUGUUGUGAAAUACUGUCGCUCAACGACAGAGGUGCAGCGCGAACUGGAGGCCUUGAGUGCGCGGGAGUAGGCGGAA